CUGGUUCCCGGUUCACGUCGAGGUGUGCGGCUCAGCGCACCACCGACGACCCGGUGACC
rnacentral:ncRNA from 1 species